UACGUAGGGGGCUAGCGUUGUCCGGAAUCAUUGGGCGUAAAGCGCGUGUAGGCGGCCCGGUAAGUCCGCUGUGAAAGUCGGGGGCUCAACCCUCGAAUGCCGGUGGAUACUGUCGGGCUAGAGUACGGAAGAGGCGAGUGGAAUUCCUGGUGUAGCGGUGAAAUGCGCAGAUAUCAGGAGGAACACCAAUUGCGAAGGCAGCUCGCUGGGACGUCACUGACGCUGAGACGCGAAAGCCAGGGGAGCAAACGGG
rnacentral:rRNA from 1 species